rnacentral:rRNA from 1 species
AUUGAACGCUGGCGGCAGGCCUAACACAUGCAAGUCGAGCGGAUGAGGGGAGCUUGCUCCUUGAUUCAGCGGCGGACGGGUGAGUAAUGCCUAGGAAUCUGCCUGGUAGUGGGGGACAACGUUUCGAAAGGAACGCUAAUACCGCAUACGUCCUACGGGAGAAAGCAGGGGACCUUCGGGCCUUGCGCUAUCAGAUGAUCCUAGGUCGGAUUAGCUAGUAGGUGGGGUAAUGGCCCACCUAGGCGACGAUCCGUAACUGGUCUGAGAGGAUGAUCAGUCACACUGGAACUGAGACACGGUCCAGACUCCUACGGGAGGCAGCAGUGGGGAAUAUUGGACAAUGGGCGAAAGCCUGAUCCAGCCAUGCCGCGUGUGUGAAGAAGGUCUUCGGAUUGUAAAGCACUUUAAGUUGGGAGGAAGGGCAGUUAGUUAAUACCUGACUGUUUUGACGUUACCAACAGAAUAAGCACCGGCUAACUUCGUGCCAGCAGCCGCCGUAAUAC